rnacentral:rRNA from 2 species
CUUGGUCAAUUAGAGGAAGUAAAAGUCGUAACAAGGUCUCCGUUGGUGAACCAGCGGAGGGAUCAUUACCGAGUUUACAACUCCCAAACCCCUGUGAACAUACCUUAAUGUUGCCUCGGCGGAUCAGCCCGCGCCCCGUAAAACGGGACGGCCCGCCAGAGGACCCAAACUCUAAUGUUUCUUAUUGUAACUUCUGAGUAAAACAAACAAAUAAAUCAAAACUUUCAACAACGGAUCUCUUGGUUCUGGCAUCGAUGAAGAACGCAGCAAAAUGCGAUAAGUAAUGUGAAUUGCAGAAUUCAGUGAAUCAUCGAAUCUUUGAACGCACAUUGCGCCCGCUGGUAUUCCGGCGGGCAUGCCUGUUCGAGCGUCAUUUCAACCCUCAAGCCCCCGGGUUUGGUGUUGGGGAUCGGCUCUGCCCUUCUGGGCGGUGCCGCCCCCGAAAUACAUUGGCGGUCUCGCUGCAGCCUCCAUUGCGUAGUAGCUAACACCUCGCAACUGGAACGCGGCGCGGCCAUGCCGUAAAACCCCAACUUCUGAAUGUUGACCUCGGAUCAGGUAGGAAUACCCGCUGAACUUAAGCAUAUCAAUAGGCCGGAGGA